CACACAUUAGACCCAUUGCAACAGCGAUAUACAUCAUGUCCCUCAUUACUGUUAUUUCUAUCAAAUAGGGAGAUUUACUGAAAUAUUUAAAUAAUAGUUGAGUGGUAAGUGUAUUCUGUAGAUGAGGCUUGUAUUCAUAUCUGUAAAUAGACAAAUCUGUUGAUGGGGCCCCUUUCUGCUUGGGUCCCCCAUCUGAAUUGACUAGUCUAGAGUGCAUUGACAACAUUUUGUUUCCGGGACAGUUCCGGAUGUCCU